AAAACAACCACGUAGGAGGCAAGCGUUAUCCGAAUUUACUGGGCGUAAAGCGCGCGUAGGCGGUUUGUUAAGUCAGAUGUGAAAGCCCAUGGCUCAACCAUGGACGUGCAUUUGAAACUGGCAGACUUGAGUAUUGGAGGGGGUGGUGGAAUUCCCGGUGUAGAGGUGAAAUUCGUAGAUAUCGGGAGGAAUACCAGUGGCGAAGGCGACCACCUGGCCAAAUACUGACGCUGAGGUGCGAAAGCGUGGGGAGCAAACAGG
rnacentral:rRNA from 1 species